rnacentral:misc_RNA from 1 species
GAAAUGCGAUAAGUAAUGUGAAUUGCAGAAUUCAGUGAAUCAUCGAAUCUUUGAACGCACAUUGCGCCCGCCAGCACUCUGGCGGGCAUGCCUGUUCGAGCGUCAUUUCAACCCUCAGAACCCCUUGCGGGAUCUGGCGUUGGGGAUUGGCAUCCAGUCAGCCCCGAAAUCUAGUGGCGGUCCCUCCGCGACCUCCCCUGUGCAGUAGCGAUACCUCGCAGCGGGACAGCGGUCUGGCCACGCCGUAAAACCCCCAACUUCUCAAGGUUGACCUCGAAUCAGGUAGGAAUACCCGCUGAACUUAAGC